ACCUGUUUUUUAAUCGAUAAUCCACGAUAUAUUAUAUUUAUUUAUUAAUUUAUAUAUCGUUGUAGUAUGAAUAUUUUAUAAAUUAAUAUUUUCAGAUCAAGGUGUAGUUUAUAUUAAAGUAAAAAUGGGUUACAAUAAAAAAUUUAAUUAAAUUGGAUUUGAAAGUAAGCUCUAAAAUAUGUACAUAUCGCCCGUCGCUUUCAUUAUAAAAUGAAAUAAGUCGUAACAAAGUAGGCUUAUUGGAAAAUGAGCCUGGAAAGCAAAUUAGAGCUUGAUAAGUAUUUUAUUUACAUUAAAAAGUUAAUUGUGAAAUUCAAUUUAAUUUGAAUUUAUAAAAUUAUUUAGUAUUUUAAUUUGUUUAUUUUAAUUAAAAAAUUAUAUAAUUUGAAUUUUUAAAGAAAAAAUUUUAUUACAGUUGAUAGUAUUGUGAAAGAAAUUAUUAAAAUAUUUUUAAGAAAAUUUUAUUUAUUGUACCUUGGGUAUCAGGAUUUAUUAAUUUAAUUUUUUCGAAUUUAAAAGAGUUAAUUUUAUUGUGAAAUAAAUAUUUAUAAUUUUUAUUUAAAUGGGAUAAGCUUUUAAAUAAAUAAUUAAAAAUUGUAUUAUUUAAAUAAUUUAUAUGAUUAGAAAUUUUCAUUAAUAAAAAAAUGUUAUAAUUUAUAAUUUUAAAUUUUUUAUUAAAAUAUUAAUUUUAAUUUUUAAAAUUAAGUAAUAAUGAUAAAAUUAGUAAAAUUAAGAUAAGGAAUUCGGCAAAUAUAUUUUUCACCUGUUUAUUAAAAACAUGUCUUUUUGAAUUUAAUUUAAAGUCUGACCCGCCCAAUGAUUAAAUGGCCGCAGUAUUUUGACUGUGCAAAGGUAGCAUAAUCAUUAGUUUUUUAAUUGAAAGCUGGAAUGAAUGGUUUUAUGAAAAAAAUACUCUCUCUAGAAUUUUAUUUUUAAGUAAAAAAGCUUAAAUAAAUUAAAAAGACGAGAAGACCCUAUAGAGUUUGAUAAUGAAAAUAUUAGGAUUAAAUUAAUUUUUUUUAUUUAUUG
rnacentral:rRNA from 1 species